UACGUAGGGGGCAAGCGUUGUCCGGAUUUACUGGGCGUAAAGAGCGUGUAGGCGGCCAAACAGGUCCGUUGUGAAAACUGGAGGCUCAACCUCCAGACGUCGACGGAAACCGUGUGGCUAGAGUCCGGAAGAGGAGAGUGGAAUUCCUGGUGUAGCGGUGAGAUGCGCAGAUAUCAGGAAGAACACCAGUGGCGAAGGCAGCUCGCUGGGACGUUACUGACGCUGAGACGCGAAAGCGUGGGGAGCAAACAGG
rnacentral:rRNA from 1 species